rnacentral:rRNA from 1 species
UACGGGGGGGGCAAGCGUUGUUCGGAAUUACUGGGCGUAAAGGGCUCGUAGGCGGCCAACUAAGUCGGACGUGAAAUCCCCAGGCUCAACCUGGGAACUGCGUCCGAUACUGGAUGGCUUGAAUCCGGGAGAGGGAUGCAGAAUUCCAGGUGUAGCGGUGAAAUGCGUAGAUAUCGGGAGGAACACCAGUGGCGAAGGCGGUUACCUGGAGCUUUGCUGACGCUGAUGCGCGAAAGCGUGGGGAGCGAUCCGG